rnacentral:rRNA from 1 species
AAGUCGUAACAAGGUUUCCGUAGGUGAACCUGCGGAAGGAUCAUUACAGAGUUCAUGCCCUCACGGGUAGCUCUCCCACCCUUGAAUAUUAUACCUUUGUUGCUUUGGCGGGCCGCUUCGGCUACCGGCUUCGGCUGGUGAGUGCCUGCCAGAGGACCCAAAACUCUGAAUUAUAGUGUCGUCUGAGUACUAUAUAAUAGUUAAAACUUUCAACAACGGAUCUCUUGGUUCUGGCAUCGAUGAAGAACGCAGCGAAAUGCGAUAAGUAAUGUGAAUUGCAGAAUUCAGUGAAUCAUCGAAUCUUUGAACGCACAUUGCGCCCCUUGGCAUUCCGAGGGGCAUGCCUGUUCGAGCGUCAUUAUAACCCCUCAAGCUCAGCUUGGCGUUGGGGCCUGCCGCAGCGGCAGCCCUUAAAACCAGUGGCGGCGCCAUCUGGGCUCUAAGCGUAGUAAUUCUUCUCGCUAUAGAGUCCUGGUGGAUGCUUGCCAUCAACCCCCAAUUUUCUAUGGUUGACCUCGGAUCAGGUAGGGAUACCCGCUGAACUUAAGCAUAUCAAUAAGCGGAGGAAAAGAAACCAACAGGGAUUGCCUCAGUAACGGCGAGUGAAGCGGCAACAGCUCAAAUUUGAAAUCUGGCUCUUUCAGGGUCCGAGUUGUAAUUUGUAGAAGAUGCUUCGGGUGUGGCUCUGGUCUAAGUUCCUUGGAACAGGACGUCAUAGAGGGUGAGAAUCCCGUAUGUGACUGGGUGCCUUCGCUCAUGUGAAGCUCUUUCGACGAGUCGAGUUGUUUGGGAAUGCAGCUCAAAAUGGGUGGUAAAUUUCAUCUAAAGCUAAAUAUUGGCCAGAGACCGAUAGCGCACAAGUAGAGUGAUCGAAAGAUGAAAAGCACUUUGGAAAGAGAGUUAAACAGUACGUGAAAUUGUUGAAAGGGAUGCGCUUGCAACCAGACUUGCACGCGGUUGAUCAUCCGGUGUUCUCACCGGUGCACUCUGCCGUGUUCAGGCCAGCAUCGGUUUCGGUGGUUGGAUAAAGGCCUAGGGAAUGUAGCUUCUUUCGGGGAGUGUUAUAGCCCUAGGUGCAAUGCAGCCUACCGGGACUGAGGACCGCGCUUCGGCUAGGAUGCUGGCGUAAUGGUUGUAAGCGACCCGUCUUGAAACACGGACC